AACGCACCUUGCGCCACAUGGUAUUCCAUGGGGCACGCCUGUUUGAGUGUCACGUUAACCCUCGCGCCGCAGAUGUAACAGUCUGAGGGGCGGAUUUGGACGCCUGCCGUGUGAACGGCUCGUCUCGAAAUGCAUUAGCUGUCUAAGGACCGCGCCGCUGGUGUGAUAAUUUCUUUGCGCCUAUGGUGUGGUCUUGGUCGAUGGCUCACAAACCGCCCGCAAGGGCAGCAUAUAUUAAGCAUUUGACCUCAAAUCAGGUGGGACUACCCGCUGAACUUAAGC
rnacentral:misc_RNA from 1 species